rnacentral:lncRNA from 1 species
CUGUGGGAAGAUGGGUGAGAGUCAGCUCUCUGAGUGCUUGGCGGCAGGCGGUCAGCUCAGCUGGUGGGAACAGCAGGACGGUGUGGACGUCAGCCUGGCACGGGGCAGGGGUGCCCCUCAGCAGAAUGGCAUGGGGGCUGUGGCAAGCUCCCCUCCAUCUCUGGUCCCUGGAGUCAGACUAGACCUUCGCCGCAUCCGGCUCGAAGGCUCGGAUGGAUGAUGGAUUGCCCGGCCCAUCUUCCCCGGGGGGUUGGAUCUGAGACCAUCAGCAUCCAGCAGCCGUGAGUGUGAUGGAUGAACCGAGGCCAGUCACCUAGUGGGGAAACGACAUCUCACAUUUAAAGAACACCAGGCGUUUCUACACAGCGGGGGAAGGAAAUCCGUCCUGAUUUUAAACUUUGGCACAGCUGUGAAACCGAGGGUAGUGAACUCUGAGGAGAGGACUCUUUUCUGGACAUACAUUUAACGUCCGUGAAAGCCUCAGACCCCCUGAGCACACCUGCCUAGCCGUGUUGUGGACGAACAAGGGCUGACGAAAUGCCUGUGGAGGCUGAUUUCACCGGAGUCAGGGGAAGUCAGUCUAAGCAAAGAGCAGGGGCACGGAUGAAAAUAACAGAACAGUGACCCAGAAUCCUGGCUGUGGCCUCAUGAAACAGGUGCUGUUAAAAUCAGCUGCAUUGGAAACAGCCGAGUCAGGCAACGAAGGCACAGAGAGGUUAGACAACUUGUGGAAAAUCACGCAGCACCGGUGCCUCCACAUUCACACUCCGCCCCUCCGUGUCCUGCAAUCCUGACCAGCCCCACGUUCCCCAGGACAAGCCGCCAGCAUCCCGGAAGGGGUUAAUCCCUCUCUGGUGGGUCAGCUCCUGCCACUCUCCCGAGUGCUUUUGCACAUGGUCUGGUCGCAAUGUGCCCAAGACGGCCCUGUGCUGGGGAGGAAAGCGCUUACAUAAUCCUCCCCGAGUGUCUUCUCUCUCAGGCGGCAUGCACACCCCACUUGGGUUGCAACACAGGCAAGCAGAUGCCAGGAAAUUCUGAGGCUGCUGCUGAGCCUGGGCUGGGUGAGGCCCAGACCUGAGACCCCCUCACCUGUGUGGGCCCUUGGCUUCCUCUGUGCCCCUCCUGAGCGGGGUCCCUGGCACAGACUCUUGUUCAGACCGUGCAAGGUAGGUGCGUGGUCAGGAGCCCACGGCUCAGGACAGAAGCCAUUUGGGGAACCAGCGGGACCUCCAGCGGCUUGGAGGAGGCUGAGUGGGAAGCACGUUCCUACCCAGGCUGAGCACUUCACACAGGGGGCUGGGCCAGAGGGAGAGCUGCCUGCCCCGGAGACCCCUACCUGCCUUCCUGUGCUGGCACAGCCAUGCCCAGCCUCCGCUGGACAGCUUGGACUGAGGUUUCCUUGUGGUGGCCCCUCCCCAGAGUGUCUCCCGGGGGCACAGGCCCUGGCGGCAUGCACGUCACCCGGGGGGCUUUUAACAGAGACCAGCAACCCUCCCACAGAGGACUGGGGAGCCGGCCCGUGGCUGGCGUGGGGGAGGCAGGCACUACCCAGCCAUGCCGGGUGGACAGGCAUUUUCCACAGCUCGGGAAACGGAGCCGGGCCAGGAAGGUUGGAGCUCAGCUCUUGGGUGAGAGCCGCGGAGCCCUGGCUGAGCCUCACCUGCGCUCGGAGCCCGUUUCCUUUUCUGUCAAAUUCACAAUGGGAUCUGGCCCUUGACUCCACCCCAGCAGCACCAAAGACACCGCCCUGCACUCAUUACAUUUCCUCCCAGCCCGCGGGGGGUCGGGGGGGGUGGUGGGGGUGAGGGUGGGCGCAGGCACUGCCUGGCAGGGGAGUGAAAGGAAGGGCCGCGCCGCCCAGGCCUGGGCCCCUCCCCAGCAUGUCUCCUCCCCCACCUGCCACCUCAGAGGGUGGACACCCGGCAGGGCCUGGCGAGGGGCGGCAGGGCGGGUUGUGUGCCUGGGGCUGGGGGAUGAGUGUUGGGGUCUGCCGGCGCUGACAGUGGGGUGAGGACCGUGUCCCCUGGAUUCCCUCCACCCCCGGGCCCUCUUGCCUGGCGGGGACAGCCAGGAGAGAGACUGAGCAUUCUCCGUGUCCUGAGGCUCUUCUUGAAACGGUCCCCAGGAUCCUGUGAGCAGGAGCCGCGCAAGGCCUGGAUCAGCCUUGAUCUCGUCUUGAACUCCCUGACUUCUUGCACAGGAAGGUGCUGGGCGCCGAGUCCUCACUGCGGGUGAAGGACCCAGAGGAGAGGAGUGAGCCGAGGCCGCCUGCCCAUGGCCAGGGGGUCUGAGUUGGGACACGUUUUCUAUUUGGUGGCCUCAGACCCUGCUGGCUGCCAACCCUUGGAAUAAGCAACAGGGCGCCUUGGACCCAACAGCCUGGUGGCCAUGAGCCCAUCUGAAUGCCCGGAACUCGCCUUGGACCCAACGGCCUGGUGGCCACGAGCCCAUCUGAAUGCCCGGAGCUGGGGAGCUGGGACCAGGUGGUGGGAACUAUGCUUGCCUCCCGGCCAGGCCGCCUGUCAUGGGAAAUGGGCCACCGGAGCCCCUGCCCAGCAGUUGGCUGCCCCCCAGGGCUGCUCCGGCCAAGCUUCUCCAGAGGUCACGCACUGCACCACAUCCUCCCACCCCACUGGGCCAGCCCUGCUAGAGGAGGGGGUGCCCCCACAGAGUCUGCCCCCGCCGCUGCCGGCGAGGACCUCCGGGUGUGACCACACAGGGCCCGGGCUCCCAUCCAGGCCGAGUGGGCGCAGGGCACGGCUUCUCCGUGGAGUCCCAGGCCCUACGCCUCCAGGCGCCAGGCGUGCCUGAGUGAGGGCCUCAUCCUGGAGGACGGGGAGGGGUGCAGGAGGCAGCUCAGGAAUCCCUCAGGGCGCCCCAGGCCAGGCUGAUCACAGCAGAGCGGCCUUAGCAAAGCUUCCAGCUUCCCCCAGCCUUUGCCGCACGUCUGCAAUGGGGACUUUUCAAAGCUGAUCUCGGUGCAGUGGGCGUAGCUGAUUCCGGCCCCGGGCUGCGGAGCCAGGAAGGAAAGCCUGCGUCUGCUUUUUGCUGGAGUUUAGCACAGAUGGCAAUCCUGUGCCGCCAUGAAUUAAGUGGGUUUCAACCCAGUGCUGCUCUCUCCAGCCAGGGCCAGGCUCCUAGAGGGGCUCACAGGGCUCCCAAGCUGGACUCCCUGCCCCAGCUCCUUCCUCUUCCCCGGCUCCCAGCAGAGCGGGGCUGUCAUUUCACCAAGCAGCCAUGGGGGUGGGGGCCAGAGCCUUGUGGGCUCAUGGGUGUGGGGGGAGUGAGGUGGGUCCCUGCCCGUGGGGGAAUGUGGGGGCCCAGCGGUGCUGGAACAGGAGUGAUUCUGCCCCCAAGCAGGAAACACAAAUCAAUAUGUGAAUGUUUGGGGUUGUUGCAACUGGGGAGGGGGCGAUACUGGCAAUUAGGGGGUGUAAAUCAGAGGGAAGAGGGAGGGAGGGAGAAAGAAGGGAGAGAGGAAGGAGGGAGGGAGGGAGGAAGGAGGAGAAGAAGGUGCCCAAGCCCCCAUUCCCCAGGAGAGGUAGUGCCCAGGACUAUGGUGCCCUUUGCAGGGCCGACCUCCCAUCUCCAUGGCGUCACUCUCUUUCCUUCUCGGGGACUUGGGGUGACCAUGAGCCGUACUAUCGAAGUACUUACUGUGGAAGGUGGAAGAGCUGAGGAGGGCGCCCGACAGGAUCCCCCAGGACACCCUGGCCCAUUCGGCACCAUUCGAAUGCAUGAGAUCGCAGGCCCUGUGCCGGUGCCCGGGGCAUGAGGGGCCUGCCCGUCCUGCAGGGUGCUGCUCAGAUGCCUCGACCCUGGGAGGCCCCUCCUGGCCAUUCUUGCAGGCCUGCCCCAGCCUGUGCCUUCUGCUGGGGCAGGGCCUCAGGCAGCAGUGGACAGUGGCCAGGAGGGCGCCGCUCAGGUUGGGAGAGGCCCGUGGGGGAUCAGCCUCCCCGGAUCCCGGGGUGGGGCCUAGUUACACACAGAGAUAAUGCAGACUCAGGCAGUGCGCAGGCAAGGCCGGAGUGCCGAGUAUGGUACAGGAAACGCAGUGUGCGCAGCUGCGCUGCACCGUGGUCCACACAGCCAGGCUCUUUGGUGUGUUUCCUGCACACAAGGACAUUCACAAGCCCUCAGCAUCGUCAGAAUCAGGGAGUGGACAGGUCCCUGCAAGGCCCCACUGCAGCCUGACCACUGUCCCCACGAGGUUCUGAGAGCGGAGUCUGAUGGUGUCACGCCCUUCCCCAAGCCGCCGUCUCUCCUCCAUCUCUGUCAGCCUGUGCAGGCUCCUGGCCCCUCCGUGCUGUGGGCACUCGGACUGCUUUGCCUCUGGAUUCCUGGUGAUGAGAUCCUGGGUGGGCGGGGACAGCAGGGGGCGAGGCUGCGCUUCUGCAGGUGUCCUGGCGGCGGGUGUAAAAUCUCACCCUGGGCGGUCUCUGGUGACGUGAACGCUGACGGUUUAAUUGAUGCCGUGUCUGCAGCCUCCCCUGCAACGCUGUCCUUUCUCUCUAUUAUGAUUAAUCCGUGUUCUGUGGGGCGUCCUUUAAAGCCAUGGGGACAUCCACGCGCACCAGGCUUCCAGCUGCUUGUCUGAGCCUGAGCUGUGGGGCCGCUUGUGCCCCAGGCCAUCUCCUGGCACUGUCAGCUCCCACCAUCCCCCCACAACCCUCCCCAUCAAGCAGGCUCCUGAGUGCUCGGGCACGGCCUCGUAGCCCUGGAGGGUCGCGAUCUCCUACAAGCCUCUGGUGUUUUCCCUGCCCAGGCUGGAGCUGGCCAAUUCUCCCAGGAGUCCUGGCCACUUUGAAUGGAACACGGUACUGAGAAGCCGAGGUCUGGGUGCUCGGGAUGCUCAUGCCCAUGGAGGCCGGGACGUCAAGGGGCUUCCAACUCCAGCCUCUCAUGGGAUGGUACAGCGGCCUGGGCAGGGGCGGAGCUGAGAACAGAAUUUCACCCCCGAGGUUCUCGGACUGGAGCUCCAGAGGAGCCGCUGCCCAGGGGCACUUACCGUGUCCUUUAUGAAAACAGAAAGUUGAAAACCCCAGAUGUCUAACAAUGAGCGAAUGAUUUGGCGAGCUGUGGCUCGGGGUCUGCCAUGAAUUCUUGGCUCCUGGACUGUGGACUGGGGGUGGAGGACACCAACAGGAACUCUUAGAGGGAAGCUGGAGGAGGUGGGGGAGACAGAGCUUUGGAAAAAGAGCUUCGACUUUGCUCUUGGGUGGAGGAGACGAGGGGAGGGCACGCAGCCAGGGACCACGGGCCGCAAUGCUCCCUCCUUCCCAGGGUCCACGGGCGGCAAUGCUGCCUCCUUCCCCGCGUCCACGGGCGGCAAUGCUCCCUCCUUCUCAGGGUCCACGGGCGGCUGGUGCUUUUUCCUUGCCGGCGUCCACAGGCAGCAAUGCUCCUUCCUUCUCAGGGUCCACAGGCAGCAACACUCCCUCCUUCCUGGCAUCCAGGGCGGUCGGUGCUCCCUGCUUUCCAGGGUUCCAGGGGAAGUCCCACCCCCUGAAUCUUGGGAGCUGGGGAAGAGGUGGGACCCUCGAGGACAGGCCGUAGCCCUCAUAGCCAGCCACCCCUAAGGGAGCAUAGCUGCUCCACACGGCGGAAUUCUCUCCGCACAGACAGCGCAGCCCUGACGCCUCCAGACACCCCUUCUUGCCGAUGCCCUUUUCUAGCUUGAUCUUGAUGGUUCCUAGAGCCUGGGGGUCAAGUGUUCCCUGGCUCGCUUCCUGUAACAUCAACUGGAACUUUUCAAUGUGGUCUAAAAAUAAUCCCACCAGCACUUUGGGAGGCCAAGGCAGGAGGAUCGCUUGAGGUCAGAAGUUCGAGUCCAGCCCGGGCCACGUAGCAAAACCUCACCUCUACUAAAAAAAAAAAAAAAAAAAAAAAAAAAUUCAGCUGUGUGUGGUGGCUCACGCCUGGAGUCCUCGGAAAGCUAAGGCAGGAGGAUCACUUGAGCCCAGGAAGUGGACACUGCAGUAAGCUACGAUAGCAACAUUGCACUCCAGCCUGGUGGACAGAGCAGACUCUGUCUCCAUCAUCAUCAUCAUCAUCAUCAUCAUCAUCAUCAUCA